CAUGAUCCACUUCUAAUUCAGCGAGGAGCACCCAGGCUCCCUGCUCAGCCACCCCCGUCCCGAGUUCUUCUUUCUUCUCCAGGUGUCUGUCUCUGUCUCUCUGUCUGUCCCUCCAUCUCUGUCUGUCCCUCCAUCUCUGUCCCUCCAUCUCUGUCUCUCUGUCUGUCCCUCCAUCUCUGUCUCUCUGUCUGUCCCUCCAUCUCUGUCUCUCUGUCUGUCCCUCCAUCUCUGUCUCUCUGUCUGUCCCUCCAUCUUUGUCUCUCUGUCUGUCCCUCCAUCUCUGUCUGUCCCUCCAUCUCUGUCUAUCCCUCCAUCUCUGUCUCUCUGUCUGUCACUCCAUCUCUGUCUCUCCAUCUCUGUCUCUCUGUCUGUCUCUCCAUCUCUGUCUCUCUGUCUGUCUCUCCAUCUCACUGUCUGUCCCUCCAUCUCUGUCUAUCUCUCCAUCUCUGUCUCUCUGUCUGUCGCUCCAUCUCUCUCUCUCUGUCUGUCUCUCCAUCUCUGUCUGUCUCUCCAUCUCUGUCUAUCUCUCCCUCUCUGUCUCUCCCUCUCUGUCUCUCCCUCUCUGUCUCUCUGUCUGUCCCUCCAUCUCUGUCUCUCCAUCUCUGUCUCUCUGUCUGUCUCUCCAUCUCUGUCUCUCUGUCUCUCUCUCCAUCUCUGUCUCUCUGUCGCUCUCUCCAUCUCUGUCUGUCCCUCCAUCUCUGUCUCUCUGUCUAUCCCUCCAUCUCUGUCUCUCUGUCUGUCUCUCCAUCUCUGUCUCUCUGUCUGUCUCUCCAUCUCUGUCUAUCCCUCCAUCUCUGUCUCUCUGUCUAUCCCUCCAUCUCUGUCUGUCCCUCCAUCUCUGUCUCUCUGUGCCUGUCUCUGGCUAAUGUCUGUUGGCGGCAGCCCCAGGAGCCCGUCUCAGAACAGCGAGUGGGGUGUCUGGGCACCCCUCACUCACCACAAGCUUUCCUGAGCCAGGCGGCCAUCAAAGAGCUGCGUGCUGGCGGGUUGGAAGUAAAGGCUCUGCUCCCCCCCCAUGGAAGUCUCCCUGGGGGGCUUUGGCGGUUCAGGCUCGUCAUACCUGCCCCUGGGAAGGCCGAACGUGGCACGUCUGAACUCUGGGGUCCGGCGCCAAUAGGGCGGCUUCUAGGAAUGCAGGGCUGGCGCCGAGGAGGGGAGAGCUCCGCUGGGAUCAGGCCCUUUGGGCCCUGCUCUGCCCCUCCGGUCUGGGUUCGAUGCGGGAAUUCAGUCGCCAAAGGAAACGCUUCCCCUGGGCCCGUCUACACCUGAUCGUGUAGACGCGAAGGGCAGAAGCCCAGGGAAACUGGGGUCAAGAAUCACCGCCUCAUUCCUUCAGACUAAAGAGCAGCGGAGUGUCCGCGGCGAGGGCUCGUCCCAUAGGAUGGGAGCAAAGUCAGGCUUCACACCAGAGGUCUUUGGACCCCAAAUCCAGCCCCUCCUCCAUCACACCACACUGCCAGAUCCCCCCAGAAACCACAUGGCUAUCCAGGCGCGCAUUGUCUCCUCCGUUAGAAUGGAAGCUCCAGGAAGGCGAGGGCUCAGGUUGGUUUUUCUCUGUGUCUCCAGCAUUUCACACGGUAAACACUCCCAAGUUCUUGGCACUCACUGAACACGUAUAUUGUUUUAAAAAGCUACAUGGAGACAGCCAGGUGGACAGUGGAUAGAACUCCAGGCCUGGAGUCAGGAGGUCUUGGGUUCAAAUCUGCCCUCAGACACUUUCUUUGUUGUGUGACCCUGGGUAAGUCACUUAACCCGUUAGGCUUGGGCCUAACACUUCAAGUAGAGAACUCAUUCAUUCUUAUUUCCUAAAAUAAGUUCUAUUCAUGACUUCUGUCUUUACCUCAGAGGGCUUCUGGGGAAAGACCCUCCUCCACUCUGCCGUGAACGUCCCCUCCCUACAAGGAAAAGCAGCUCAUCCGGAACAGCUGUCUGAUGAGGAAGAUGGCCGUAGUGCUCCCCGGCUCCUCUCCCCAGCGAGCCUCCCUGGUCUCCCAUGCCGUACUCUAAAGGCUUCCCGGGGCUCUGCUUCCCACUGUCCUUCCCUUUCCUUCAAAGGAAAAGCCAUGAAGAGGGGACCCAUCCGAGACAUCCCAACCUUGCUUUGAAGGUUGGUUCGCUUAGAAACUCCUGCGGCUGUCCUUCGGCGAGCACCCAGAGCCCAGGGGAAUGCUGGGAAGAGGGCGGCCCUGCAAGGACGUCUCCUCGAGAGUUCCUCCAAAAGCUAGCAAACACUGGCGGAGCAACAAUGAAUAAGUACUCCUAGAGUUUA
rnacentral:lncRNA from 1 species